rnacentral:lncRNA from 1 species
GUCGCUGCGCGUCGGAGCCCGAGGGGCCGGGGACGCGCGCGGGGGGAGAGGGGCAAGAGUCCUGGAGGCCCGGCGGGGAGCGGGGCGAUUUCGAAAGGAAGGACUGCAGCGCCCCUCGGGGCUUCUCGGGGAGCCCAGAGAAAGCACAUUGGCUGGUCCAGUAAUACGUCUGGCAUGUGGUGCCAGGUGCCAUUGAAGCUGAGGAGAUUCCAAUGUAUGCAAGCAUGUUUGAUGAAUCAGGGGCUGAUGACUAUCGGAAAACUGUGGCGUAAUGGAAGAUCCCCAGAAGGAGAAUUUACAGCUACUUCAAGUGGAAUCUGGCACAAUGAACAGACUGGCCACAGGAGCUGAAGACUGGAGGAGAGUGACACUUCUAACUAAUAGCAUCUAAAACAUCCCAGAUGAGCUACUUCAAGAGUGUUUGUGAACAUCUUGAAACAAAGGCCUAUCUUGUAAACAAACAGAGCUGUCCCACUAAACUCUCCUGGCCUAGGGCCUCUUCUGGGAGCAUUCAGAGAAAGCAGGACUUAGAGGAUAGGGAGUUAAACUUCCUGCCCUGGUUCAGAUCUGCAACUGAGCAGUGAAUGACUCAGCACCAGGAGAAGGCAUCUGUGGGCCUGAAUGCUGGCAGCCAGGAAUAAGUGCAAAGGCUGUGCCAGUGAUGGCCAGAGUGGACGGGACAUGGCAGUGGAGGCUGGAGUCAUAGUCCACAAUUUACCCUCAGCAUCUGAGAGAUACCCCUAGG